UACGUAGGGUGCAAGCGUUAAUCGGAAUUACUGGGCGUAAAGCGUGCGCAGGCGGCUUUGCAAGACAGAUGUGAAAUCCCCGGGCUCAACCUGGGAACUGCAUUUGUGACUGCAUGGCUAGAGUGCGGCAGAGGGGGAUGGAAUUCCGCGUGUAGCAGUGAAAUGCGUAGAUAUGCGGAGGAACACUGAUGGCGAAGGCAAUCCCCUGGGCCUGCACUGACGCUCAUGCACGAAAGCGUGGGGAGCAAACAGG
rnacentral:rRNA from 1 species